rnacentral:rRNA from 1 species
GGGCACUGUCUCAACGAGAGACUCGGUGAAAUCAUAGUACCUGUGAAGAUGCAGGUUACCCGCGACAGGACGGAAAGACCCCGUGGAGCUUUACUGUAGCCUGAUAUUGAAAUUCGGCACAGCUUGUACAGGAUAGGUAGGAGCCUUUGAAACGUGAGCGCUAGCUUACGUGGAGGCGCUGGUGGGAUACUACCCUAGCUGUGUUGGCUUUCUAACCCGCACCACUUAUCGUGGUGGGAGACAGUGUCAGGCGGGCAGUUUGACUGGGGCGGUCGCCUCCUAAAAGGUAACGGAGGCGCUCAAAGGUUCCCUCAGAAUGGUUGGAAAUCAUUCAUAGAGUGUAAAGGCAUAAGGGAGCUUGACUGCGAGACCUACAAGUCGAGCAGGGUCGAAAGACGGACUUAGUGAUCCGGUGGUU